UCAUAUGCAAACUAGUAACCUUCUCACGGGAUAUACACUCAAUCACAUAUGUGUUUAGUUUUAAUGUGUUCGCUCAAAGAAUCAAAUGUGAAAUUUCUACCAUAAGCUUGCAUAAAGAUCACUUCUCUAUAAUCAUAAUUGCAAAACUUAAAUCAAGAGGACUUUUAUUGGACGUAAUGAGGCUUAGCGAGAGGGUUAUUGAAAUGAAAGAAUAGGUAAACACAAGUUCCAAGCUACAUUGCAAGCAAUUCUUUUGUUUAGAUUUAUAAGAACUCAAUAUUUCCAGCGAUUCUUCUAGCACCUCCAACCAUACCCUUAAACUGAAACUUGAACAACUUUUUAUUUUCUUUGUGUACAAUUUUUCUUUUUCUUUUUCUUUUCUUCUCUUUUUUUCCUUUUUUUUUUUUUUUUUUUUUUUAAAUACAAACAUGAAAUACCCCCACACUUAUUCUUUUGCCAAACACCUUCAAAGUACUUCACAACCGUUUCUCAUAAGACAAUCUCGCAUUGCUCGCUUGGAAAUGGUAAGGAAAAAUAUUUCAGGUAUAAGGGUAGACAUAUCUGGUGAUAAGAAAUAAAAGGCUCAACAAACACGGCUCAAAUUGGCAAUCUAAUGAUAUCAUUUUUCUUUGGUAAACAUGGUUAUUUGGGCCAUAGUGGUAAACCUAAUGCCUCUAUCAUUUCCAAAUUCAUGCAAUCAAUGACAAACAUUUCGAAAGAUCGUUACGCAAGUUCUAGAGAUGUAUCUCACAUAAGUUCAUCACACAUAAAAAAAUAGGAGUGUAUGAAAAAUGCACACACUUUCAAUCGGCUCAAAAACUCACAUAGGAUGGUCACUAAAUUCACAUAUGAAGCUUUAAGUUAUGCUUUAGUUUCACAUCAACAAGGCUAUGUGCAUUUGGUUUUUCAAAGAUGAUCAAACAUAUACAAAACUAACAAAAGAAUUAGGAAUUUCACAAAACACAUGUUAACUAAGUUCUUGAUAAUCAUGAUUCAAAUUUGAUCUAAUUAUAUCAUUGGGUCGGGAAACUAACAAAAAAAAUCUGAUUCAGAACAAAAAGGGAAACAAGACAAUAUUUUUGGAUUUUUAAAUUUUCCGAUUUUUUUUUUUUUUUAUUUUUAUUAUUAUUAUUAUUAU
rnacentral:lncRNA from 1 species